AGGAUGAACGCUGGCGGCGUGCUUAACACAUGCAAGUCGAACGGUGAAGCAGGAGCUUGCUCCUGUGGAUCAGUGGCGAACGGGUGAGUAACACGUGAGAAAUCUGCCCUGGACUCUGGGAUAAGCGUUGGAAACGACGUCUAAUACCGGAUACGAGCUUCAGCCGCAUGGCUAGGAGCUGGAAAGACUUCGGUCCAGGAUGAUCUCGCGGCCUAUCAGCUAGUUGGUGAGGUAACGGCCCACCAAGGCGACGACGGGUAGCCGGACCUGAGAGGGUGACCGGCCAACGACGUGGGACUGAGACACGGCCCAGACCUCGUACGGGAGGCAGCGAGGUGGGAAUAGUGACACGAAGUGGGCGACGAA
rnacentral:rRNA from 1 species